UGGGAGAGUUAAUCGCAAUAGCGGAUCAAGGAGGAGAAAAAUCCAAGCUGAGGAAUCAAACACAUCGUCUCUUCGGUCUUCUGUAAACAAUCAGGUGAUACUGCUGAGAAAUCUGCCCCUUAAUCUUUAUCCACUAAAGCAGCUGUUGCUCCUGCACUGAAUACUGCACCAGCUCCUGAUGCCUCAUCUCCUGCUACUGGUGAUGUAGCUGAGCCUCAACUUCAGCAUCAGGAGAACCCAGAAGAAAAGGCCAAUAGUGAAGGAGAACACCAGAACUUCGUCCAGAUAAUGACCACAAUACAAGACUCUGAAGGUGGAAUAAAAACUGUAGUGGGUGUUACAGAAAUGCCAGAAAAACAUCAGGACGCACAUGCAAAGGCAACAGUUGGACCAAAGGAGGUAGUAGAACAGAAAUCGGAUGCAGGAGCAGGUGUAGGAGAUCCGAGAGAUACUAGUCCACAUCCAUCCUCUCCUGAUGAUACAGCUGAAAGAUCUCCUGCUCCUCAAACUUCAUCCACUACAGCAGCUGCACUGGAUACUGC